AAGUCGUAACAAGGUUUCCGUAGGUGAACCUGCGGAAGGAUCAUUAACACGUAUCCACGUACCAACCAAAGUGAACUGUUUUCCAUCUCUCUGUACCCAUACAUGAAUCGUAUUAGAAAACAAAGAAGUGAGAUCGAGUAAGGAAUAAUUCAUUUGAUAUGAAUUCAUUCGCUUCUUCUUUGUGUAGAUUGUAGUAUGGGUAUGGACUCAUGCCGACGAGCUGAUACUUUCCUUCUCGUAGUAUUGCUUAUCGGUUAAUAAAUAUAUAAAAUAAUAUUAAUUUAUUUAUUCUUAUUAUUUCUUCUUAACUAUUCUCACCUUCUAUUUUUGCUAGUUGACUUUUUAUAUGUUAAUAUAUGUCUCUGACUAUAUUACACGUUUCUUAUUUAAACGUUAUAAUACAACUCUUAGUAAUGGAUAUCUAGGUUCUC
rnacentral:misc_RNA from 1 species